GGGAUCCACGAGUCAGUGCUUUUGGAAAGCAUGUGUGGCUCAAAUCUAAUUAUUCUCUCCCUUCCUUUGAGCCGGAGAGGGUGGAGAGAUAUAUAGAGAGAGAAAGAGAGAGUGGCCAUCCACGUAGCUAUAGGUUUUGUUAUGCUGUGAUUUCUCUCUCUCCCUCGCUCGCCCGCUCACUCCGAACCCCCUUCUUCCCCCACCUCCUCCUCUCUCUCACUCAUUCUCCAUCUCUCUCUCACACACACACGCGCCAAACACACUCUCUCUCCUCCUCUGCCUCUCUCUCUCCCCGUCUGUCUCUCCCUCCCUCAGCUUCACUCGCUCUUGUGCUGUAAGUUCAUUUGCUGUGUCAAGCAACAACUGGCUCGGGAGUGGGCAGUGGGUUUUGAUCCUUUUGUCAAGCGUCCCCUCUGUGAACGUGUACCGCGUCCACCUGCACACCACAGGACUGCCCGCCUGGCUCGCUCCAACAUCGGCGUACCGUCCUGGGUUUAUCACCAUCAGGCAUCCCACCUUGCUUAGGCGGGCGGCACGACGAGAUGCUCAAGGUUUGACGGGGUGAACCCACUACAGUGGACUAUCGUCAUCAUCAGAAUCCCCGCCGUGGCAAUGGGAGUCAAGACAUGGACGUUUCCCGGAGGACCUCCGCUGGGUCCUUGCAUCCCAGACGAGCCGUUGAGGGGCCCUUGCCUUGCGCUACAAAGCGUCUUCAAUCAAUUGUUUUGAAAAGGCCGCGUUUUCCGAACGGCCGCGGACGAUGCCGGCGGUUCGGUUGUUUCUCUCUGUAAAAGACUCUCUUCGGUGACGGGUAUUCUUGGGUGGAUAAUACGGCUCUCGUUGUUAUUGCUUAAGAAUACGCGUAGUCGAGGAGAGUCAUACCGGCGGCGCCUGCAAUGGACUAGAGAGAGCGUUGAAUCCAGAAGGCCCACCUGCCUGCACACACACAUGCGUUUGCUAACGCCGAGGUUCACGCCCACAUCCAUUUAUUGAGUCAGCGAAGCUGCAUUUCCUGUUGUGUGUGAUGCUUGUGCUGUUGAUUUAUCCGCCUGCUCCCACUAAACAUCUUUUCAGCCACCGGAAAAGGAAAAACUGGGUUUUUUGUUGUUGUUGUUGUGAUUUGAGUUCUACGGCGUCUUCUUCACCGAAAGGGAAAGCUGUAUACUGUAACGUGCCGGGCGGGGUUGUAGAUGCAUUGCAAAUGUGUUCGGUUUGUGCCAUAUAUUCUUUUCUCAGGACUGCACACACUCCACCUUUUUAAUGCAAAUUGAUUUUGAAAUGACAUUUAUUGUGCAGGGUUUCCAUAUGGAGGGCUGGAGAGAGAGAAAAAAAAAUGGAAUGAAAUGUCCACGAUGCCACUGACAGCUAAAUUUAUGCGGAUUGUAAAGGAACACACUGCAGAUAAACAGUUACCACGGCUUUAGAUUGACUGCGGCGUGGCUUGCCAUGUAGGCACGCGUAUAUCAUGAAUAUGUAUCAGGCGAGCGUAUGAUGCUGCAUUCUAACGUCCAUGAAAUCCAUUUAGGGAACCUAAUAGGAUCUACUCGACUUAUGAAAGCUUACGAUCAGGUCUGAUAAAUAUACAUGAGAUUGCUUUAUAAGAAAGUAUUCUUUUGCUUUUUAUACUUGUAUC